rnacentral:rRNA from 1 species
AGCGAACGCUGGCGGCAGGCCUAACACAUGCAAGUCGAACGAACCUUUCGGGGUUAGUGGCGGACGAGUGAGUAACACGUGGGAACGUGCCUUUAGGUUCGGAAUAACUCAGGGAAACUUGUGCUAAUACCGAAUGUGCCCUUCGGGGGAAAGAUUUAUCGCCUUUAGAGCGGCCCGCGUCUGAUUAGCUAGUUGGUUGAGGUAAUGGCUCACCAAGGCGACGAUCAGUAGCUGGUCUGAGAGGAUGAUCAGCCACAUUGGGACUGAGACACGGCCCAAACUCCUACGGGAGGCAGCAGUGGGGAAUCUUGCGCAAUGGGCGAAAGCCUGACGCAGCCAUGCCGCGUGAAUGAUGAAGGUCUUAGGAUUGUAAAAUUCUUUCACCGGGGACGAUAAUGACGGUACCCGGAGAAGAAGCCCCGGCUAACUUCGUG